UACGGAGGGGGGCUAGCGUUAUUCGGAAUUACUGGGCGUAAAGCGCACGUAGGCGGCUUUGUAAGUAAGAGGUGAAAGCCUGGAGCUCAACUCCAGAACUGCCUUUUAGACUGCAUCGCUUGAAUCCAGGAGAGGUGAGUGGAAUUCCGAGUGUAGAGGUGAAAUUCGUAGAUAUUCGGAAGAACACCAGUGGCGAAGGCGGCUCACUGGACUGGUAUUGACGCUGAGGUGCGAAAGCGUGGGGAGCAAACAGG
rnacentral:rRNA from 1 species